GACGAACGCUGGCGGCGUGCUUAACACAUGCAAGUCGAACGCUGAAGCUCAGCUUGCUGGGUGGCUGAGUGGCGAACGGGUGAGUAACACGUGAGUAACCUGCCCUCUUCUUUGGGAUAACGCCCGGAAACGGGUGCUAAUACUGGAUAUUCACUGAUUCUCGCAUGGGGGUUGGUGGAAAGGUUUUUUCUGGUGGGGGAUGGGCUCGCGGCCUAUCAGCUUGUUGGUGGGGUGAUGGCCUACCAAGGCUUUGACGGGUAGCCGGCCUGGGAGGGUGACCGGUCACAUUGGGACUGAGAUACGGCCCAGACUCCUACGGGAGGCAGCAGUGGGGAAUAUUGCACAAUGGGCGAAAGCCUGAUGCAGCGACGCCGCGUGAGGGAGGGAGGCCUUCGGGUUGGAAACCUCUUUCGCUCAUGGUCAAGCCGCAGCUUUGGGUUGUGGUGAGGGUAGUGGGUAAAGAAGCGCCGGCUAACUACGUG
rnacentral:rRNA from 1 species